rnacentral:rRNA from 1 species
UUGGGUAGGGGAGCGUUCUGUAAGCCUGCGAAGGUGACCUGUGAGGGUUGCUGGAGGUAUCAGAAGUGCGAAUGCUGACAUAAGUAACGAUAAAGCGGGUGAAAAGCCCGCUCGCCGGAAGACCAAGGGUUCCUGUCCAACGUUAAUCGGGGCAGGGUGAGUCGACCCCUAAGGCGAGGCCGAAAGGCGUAGUCGAUGGGAAACAGGUUAAUAUUCCUGUACUUGGUGUUACUGCGAAGGGGGGACGGAGAAGGCUAUGUUAGCCGGGCGACGGUUGUCCCGGUUUAAGCAUGUAGGCUGGUUAUCCAGGCAAAUCCGGAUAAUCAAGGCUGAGGUGUGAUGACGAGGCACUACGGUGCUGAAGUAACAAAUGCCCUGCUUCCAGGAAAAGCCUCUAAGCAUCAGGUAACAUCAAAUCGUACCCCAAACCGACACAGGUGGUCAGGUAGAGAAUACCAAGGCGCUUGAGAGAACUCGGGUGAAGGAACUAGGCAAAAUGGUGCCGUAACUUCGGGAGAAGGCACGCUGGUGUGUAGGUGAAGUCCCUGCGGAUGGAGCUGAGACCAGUCGAAGAUACCAGCUGGCUGCAACUGUUUAUUAAAAACACAGCACUGUGCAAACACGAAAGUGGACGUAUACGGUGUGACGCCUGCCCGGUGCCGGAAGGUUAAUUGAUGGGGUUAUCCGUAAGGAGAAGCUCUUGAUCGAAGCCCCGGUAAACGGCGGCCGUAACUAUAACGGUCCUAAGGUAGCGAAAUUCCUUGUCGGGUAAGUUCCGACCUGCACGAAUGGCGUAAUGAUGGCCAGGCUGUCUCCACCCGAGACUCAGUGAAAUUGAACUCGCUGUGAAGAUGCAGUGUACCCGCGGCAAGACGGAAAGACCCCGUGAACCUUUACUAUAGCUUGACACUGAACAUUGAGCCUUGAUGUGUAGGAUAGGUGGGAGGCUUUGAAGCGUGGACGCCAGUCUGCGUGGAGCCAACCUUGAAAUACCACCCUUUAAUGUUUGAUGUUCUAACGUAGGCCCCUUAUCGGGGUUGCGGACAGUGUCUGGUGGGUAGUUUGACUGGGGCGGUCUCCUCCCAAAGCGUAACGGAGGAGCACGAAGGUUAGCUAAUCCUGGUCGGACAUCAGGAGGUUAGUGCAAUGGCAUAAGCUAGCUUGACUGCGAGCGUGACGGCGCGAGCAGGUGCGAAAGCAGGUCAUAGUGAUCCGGUGGUUCUGAAUGGAAGGGCCAUCGCUCAACGGAUAAAAGGUACUCCGGGGAUAACAGGCUGAUACCGCCCAAGAGUUCAUAUCGACGGCGGUGUUUGGCACCUCGAUGUCGGCUCAUCACAUCCUGGGGCUGAAGUAGGUCCCAAGGGUAUGGCUGUUCGCCAUUUAAAGUGGUACGCGAGCUGGGUUUAGAACGUCGUGAGACAGUUCGGUCCCUAUCUGCCGUGGGCGCUGGAGAAUUGAGGGGGGCUGCUCCUAGUACGAGAGGACCGGAGUGGACGCAUCACUGGUGUUCGGGUUGUCAUGCCAAUGGCACUGCCCGGUAGCUAAAUGCGGAAGAGAUAAGUGCUGAAAGCAUCUAAGCACGAAACUUGCCCCGAGAUGAGUUCUCCCUGAGACUUGAAGUCUCCUGAAGGAACGUUGAAGACGACGACGUUGAUAGGCCGGGUGUGUAAGCGCAGCGAUGCGUUGAGCUAACCGGUACUAAUGAACCGUGAGGCUUAACCU